AACGUAUGUUGUGCGGAGGCUAUGUGGCCUGUAGAAUUUUUUUUUUUUGGGGGGGGUAACUAUCUGCAUCAACUCAUAGCAAAAUGCUUCAAAGACACUCUACGAACUCCAGUGUCGACCAGCCACCAUGAGUGUAAAUUAGCCGUUUGAAUGGACUCCCAUCUUAACUCAUGUGGAUGGACGUCAGAAGUCCUAUGGGCUGUGUCCACUCAAGCGAAACCCCUGAGGCUUGAUGGAAGACUAUAUGAUUUAAAUGGGUACGUUUUGGCAGUCAGUUGAGUGAAUGUAUUGUGUGGCGUAGUUUCUCAAGGUUAUAUGUAGCAUAGUGCAUAGCAAGAUCAUCAAUUGAAGUCGUGCAGUAAUGGACUAAUUAAUACCCUUUC